UACAUUUUGAUGUAUGAUGCAUAAAAAUUUUUGAAAUUUUAAGAGACAGUUUAAUUCUGUUAAAUGUAA
rnacentral:tRNA from 1 species